UUUUCUGGAAAAUUUUAAAAACUGAGUUUGGUAUUAUGCUUAAGCUUUUACACUCUUAAUCUUAAUGCUCCAUUUAUAGUUGCAUUUCAACAGAACCAGUCACUACAAAAAAGCAGUUCAAAUUGCGGAGGGGGAGGGGGGUUGCGUGGAUUAUUUUAACCCCCGUAAAAUUAUAUAAAAUGCAGGGGUUAAAAAGUCACCGCUAAAAUUUAUAAAUUUGUGGGGGUUUAAACCCCCACUAUAAAUAGAAAAAAUAGCCUAUACCAUUAAAAAAAUUUCCCUCAUUUUUUUUUCCAUUGACCAAAAUUUUUCCUCAUUUUUUAAUUCACCUUCCAUUCCCCCAAAAUCUCCCUCUCUCUCACAUUCCCCCAAAUCAACUUUCACUGUGUUAACCCAAAAAAAAAAAAUUAACUCAAGGUCAAUUGAUACGCCGACCAAUCGACUCCAGUCAUUUUUCCUCGAAAUUAACUCCGUCGGCCGGCCAUUGGAAUUGUGCUGAACUCUGAAAUUACGUAUGAGGAGUAUCUUGAAGCUCAUAGCAGACGCAACAAAAGAUCGAACCAGCCUGUUAGUACUCUUUUGACAUUUUUCUUGUUAUAUAUUCCUUUAUUAUAGAUAAACCCAUGAAUCAUGUUAUUUUGGGUUGGAUUUUGCAACAAUUGUAAAGCGUGUCUCUAUUUCAGAAAAUUCUAUUCUGCUUUCUUUCUGUAUUGCGAAAAGUA